UACGUAGGGUGCGAGCGUUAAUCGGAAUUACUGGGCGUAAAGCGUGCGCAGGCGGUUAUAUAAGACAGAUGUGAAAUCCCCCGGGCUCAACCUGGGAACUGCAUUAGUGACUGUAUAGCUGGAGUGCGGCAGAGGGGGAUGGAAUUCCGCGUGUAGCAGUGAAAUGCGUAGAUAUGCGGAGGAACACCGAUGGCGAAGGCAAUCCCCUCGGGCCGUGCACUGACGCUCAUGCACGAAAGCGUGGGGAGGCAAACAGGAUUAGAUACCCCCGUAGU
rnacentral:rRNA from 1 species